GAUGAAGGACGCAGCGAAAUGCGAUAAGUAAUGUGAAUUGCAGAAUUCAGUGAAUCAUCGAAUCUUUGAACGCACAUUGCGCCCGCCAGUAUUCUGGCGGGCAUGCCUGUUCGAGCGUCAUUUCAACCAUCAAGCCCCCGGCUUGUGUUGGGGACCUGCGGCUGCCGCAGGCCCUGAAAACCAGUGGCGGGCUCGCUAGUCACUCCGAGCGUAGUAAUACAUCUCGCUCAGGGCGUGCUGCGGGUUCCGGCCGUUAAAAAAGCCUUAUUUACCCAAGGUUGACCUCGGAUCAGGUAGGAAGACCCGCUGAACUUAAGCAUAUCAAUAAGCGGAGGA
rnacentral:misc_RNA from 1 species